UGGGGAAUAUUGGGCAAUGGGCGAAAGCCUGACCCAGCAACGCCGCGUGAAGGAAGAAGGUCUUUGGAUUGUAAACUUUUGUCCUAUGGGAAGAAGGAAGUGACGGUACCAUGGGAGGAAGCCCCGGCUAACUACGUGCCAGCAGCCGCGGUAAUACGUAGGGGGCGAGCGUUGUCCGGAAUUACUGGGCGUAAAGGGCGCGCAGGCGGCCGAUCAAGUUAGAUGUGAAAUACCUGGGCUUAACCUGGGAACUGCAUUUAAAAGCUGGUUGGUUAGGAGUGCAGGAGAGGGAAGCGGAAUUCCUAGUGUAGCGGUGAAAUGCGUAGAUAUUAGGAGGAACACCAGUGGCGAAGGCGGCUUUCUGGACUGUAACUGACGCUGAGGCGCGAAAGCGUGGGGAGCGAACAGGAUUAGAUACC
rnacentral:rRNA from 1 species